rnacentral:lncRNA from 1 species
AUGUGCAACAAGAGUGAAGAAAACUAAAUGAGCAUGCAAAUGUUUGACUAUUAGUAAAGAGCUCACCAGUACAGACACAGGGAGCUGGUUGGUCGGCUUGAAAAUUCUCUCAGACCAAGAGAAGCCAAACAAGUUUCUGCACCCACUGAGAACGUGCUUCUGCCAGACGAGGAGAAACAAGUUCUGGGUGUGGCUUCCUAUGAUGCUCCAUUAGGGAAGCCUCCAUCUGCAGUCAAGCACAGAUUAGGACAUUUCCCACGAUCAGUUUUCUGACUGACUUUUGGAGAAGGAGAAGGAGGAGGAGGAGGAGAAGAAGAAGAAGAAGAAGAGGAAGAGGAAGAGGAAGAGGAAGAAGAAGAAGAUCAAUGCUGCAGGC